AUCAGGAGGAGGACGUAGUAGUGGUUCUCGUCGUUCUGCCGCGCCGGUUUCCUGUUUCCUGCGGGUCGAGCACAGUUUCGACAGGCCUGUGUCUCGUUAUCGGUUUGCUAUUGAUCCCCCGCGUUCAUUGGCGUUCGUCCAGUAUAUUUUCCCCGACCGGCAAAAAAUUGUCGUCCGCAGAGUAUACCCGAGGGCUGGUAAUGAUUGACCUAGUAUUGGAAAAUUUUUCGACGACGUAAUGUAAUGUCAUCACACCGUUCAACGUGUCUGUGUCUCAAGAGAGUUUAAAAAUAAUCGGCAAAUCGGCAUGUACUCAUGAGAAAAUUUUUACGCCGCCUUCGGGAAAAAAAAUUCAGACUCGAGUUGAAUAAUUCAGCGAGUCGCAAAUGAUAAUCGCUGUAUUUCUGUAUCUCAAGGUUUCAAUUAAUAAUUACUUCGACUUUGAUUGUUCUUAUGCUACAAGAACAGAAAAGUUAUCAGCUAUCAUUAAAUACACAUUACGGUCAUUAGCUGGAACUUAACAUUCUUCAAUUUGGUUGAUUUUCUGUCACAAGCGUAGCUUGCCGUAACACAUGUACGCAUUAAGCAUGUCCCAAAAA